rnacentral:rRNA from 1 species
GGGUUCGAUUCCGGAGAGGGAGCCUGAGAAACGGCUACCACAUCCAAGGAAGGCAGCAGGCGCGCAAAUUACCCAAUCCCAAUACGGGGAGGUAGUGACAAUAAAUAACAAUAUGGGGCUCUUACGGGUCUCGUAAUUGGAAUGAGUACAAUUUAAAUCUCUUAACGAGGAACAAUUGGAGGGCAAGUCUGGUGCCAGCAGCCGCGGUAAUUCCAGCUCCAAUAGCGUAUAUUAAAGUUGUUGCAGUUAAAAAGCUCGUAGUUGAAUUUCGGAGUUUGUCGGUUGGUCGGGCUUCACUGUCCGCACUGGCCUGAUGGAUUCCUACCUUCUGAAUAACCAGCAUGCUAUUAAGUUAGUGCGUUGGGGAAGCAGAGCUAUUACCUUGAAAAAAUUAGAGUGCUUAAAGCAGGCUUUUGCUUGAAUAGAUUAGCAUGGAAUAAUAAAAUAGGACGGCAUGGUUCUAUUUUGUUGGUUUCUAGGAUCACCGUAAUGAUUAAUAGGGAUAGUUGGGGGCAUUAGUAUUCAAUUGUCAGAGGUGAAAUUCUUGGAUUUAUUGAAGACUAACUUCUGCGAAAGCAUUUGCCAAGGAUGUUUUCAUUAAUCAAGAACGAAAGUUAGGGGAUCGAAGACGAUCAGAUACCGUCGUAGUCUUAACCAUAAACUAUGCCGACUAGGGAUCGG